AAGAUUAAAACAUGAAGAUGAACAACAGAUACGCAACCCAACAAAGAGAAGCUGAUACAGAGGGGAAGCCAAGAAAGAAAACAAAGACAUGAAACAAGGUGCAUGAUGAAAUAUCAUGCAAAAUUCAUCAGACUAGGCAACAGAGAAGAAAAAACGACAAAAAAGAUAAGAAACCCGAGAAAAAUGGGAAGUAGAAGAAUAAAAGACAAUGGAGAUACCAUUGAGAAGAAACUGAAACACUUCAGAAAUAGUCAGAUAUUGUUUGACAUGAAGCCAACAAUAGAAAAACACAACAGUGGAUAAGGGAACAAAGGGGGUGGGAGGGAAA
rnacentral:lncRNA from 1 species